ensembl:rRNA 5S_rRNA 5S ribosomal RNA
GUCUACGGCCGUACCACCGUGAACACGCCCCAUCUCGUCUGAUCUGAAGCUAAGCCGGGUUGGGCCUGGUUAGUACUUGGAUGGGAGACCAACUGGGGAUACUGGGUGCUUUCGACU